UGAAGAAAAAGAGACGGUAGAGACCGAGGUGUGUUCCACAUCUUUGAGUUUUAUUUGUCUUGGGUUUCAUUACAUUAAACCGGUAAGGCAGAGACGGAAACACAGUCAGUCAAACUGUUAAGGCAGGGGACAAACCAGUCAGUCAAACCGUUUAGGCAGAGGACAGCAGAGAAGGAAACAGUCAGUCAAACAAACCGUUAAGGCAAAGGACAAACCAGUCAGUCAAACCGUUAAGGCAGAGGACAAACCAGUCAGUCAAACCGUUAAGGCAGAGGACAAACCAGUCAGUCAAACCGUUUAGGCAGAGGACAGCAGAGAAGGAAACAGUCAGUCAAACAAACCGUUAAGGCAAAGGACAAACCAGUCAGUCAAACCGUUAAGGCAGAGGACAAACCAGUCAGUCAAACCGGUAAGGCAGAGGACAAACCAGUCAGUCAAACCGUUAAGGCAGGGGACAAACCAGUCAGUCAAACCGUUAAGGCAGGGGACAAACCAGUCAGUCAAACCGGUAAGACAGAGGACAGCAGAGAAGGAAACAUUCAGUCAAACCGGUAAGACAGAGGACAGCAGAGAAGGAAACAGUCAGUCAAACAAACCCUUAAGGCAGAGGACAAACCAGUCAGUCAAACCGUUAAGGCAGAGGACAGCAGAGAAGGAAACAGUCAGUCAAACAAACCCUUAAGGCAGAGGACAAACCAGUCAGUCAAACCGUUAAGGUAGAGGACAACAGAGAAGGAAACAGUCAGUCAAACCGGUAAGACAGAGGACAGCAGAGAAGGAAACAGUCAGUCAAACAAACCCUUAAGGCAGAGGACAAACCAGUCAGUCAAACCGUUAAGGUAGAGGACAACAGAGAAGGAAACAGUCAGUCAAACCGGUAAGACAGAGGACAGCAGAGAAGGAAACAGUCAGUCAAACCGGUAAGGCAGAGGACAGCAGAGAAGGAAACAGUCAGUCAAACCGGUAAGGCAGAGGACAAACCAGUCAGUCAAACCGUUAAGGCAGAGGACAGCAGAGAAGGAAACAGUCAGUCAAACAAACCCUUAAGGCAGAGGACAAACCAGUCAGUCAAACCGUUAAGGUAGAGGACAACAGCGAAGGAAACAGUCAGUCAAACCGGUAAGACAGAGGACAGCAGAGAAGGAAACAGUCAGUCAAACAAACCCUUAAGGCAGAGGACAAACCAGUCAGUCAAACCGUUAAGGUAGAGGACAACAGAGAAGGAAACA